AUUAUCUGGCAGAUGUGUUUGAUUUGCAGGGGUUAUUUUGUAAAUUUUCCCCAUCCUUGUCAACGUGGCUGAAGGUUGUUAGUUUCUUUUGUUUUUUUUAUGGAACGGACGUGUCAAUCUAAGGAUAUUUCUCUUUCUUUCCUCAUCUUCUUUCUCCACCGUGUGGCUUUUAUCUUUGUUCCAAAUUCCAUCAACACUUCGAUCAUCUUGGUCUUGUCGAUGGUUCGCGCUGCUCAGCUCUCAUUUUAAAUUGGUCCUUCUUUUAAUACAUGUCCGUUCAAUUUUGUCUCUUAUGUGCAUCGUGUAGAAUCUAUCCAACUUUCGUCCCUCUAUUUUUUUUUGUUAUUAUCUGGCAGAUGUGUUUGAUUUGCAGGGGUUAUUUUGUAAAUUUUCCCCAUCCUUGUCAACGUGGCUGAAGGUUGUUAGUUUCUUUUGUUUUUUUUAUGGAACGGACGUGUCAAUCUAAGGAUAUUUCUCUUUCUUUCCUCAUCUUCUUUCUCCACCGUGUGGCUUUUAUCUUUGUUCCAAAUUCCAUCAACACUUCGAUCAUCUUGGUCUUGUCGAUGGUUCGCGCUGCUCAGCUCUCAUUUUAAAUUGGUCCUUCUUUUAAUACAUGUCCGUUCAAUUUUGUCUCUUAUGUGCAUCGUGUAGAAUCUAUCCAACUUUCGUCCCUCUAUUUUUUUUUGUUAUUAUCUGGCAGAUGUGUUUGAUUUGCAGGGGUUAUUUUGUAAAUUUUCCCCAUCCUUGUCAACGUGGCUGAAGGUUGUUAGUUUCUUUUGUUUUUUUUAUGGAACGGACGUGUCAAUCUAAGGAUAUUUCUCUUUCUUUCCUCAUCUUCUUUCUCCACCGUGUGGCUUUUAUCUUUGUUCCAAAUUCCAUCAACACUUCGAUCAUCUUGGUCUUGUCGAUGGUUCGCGCUGCUCAGCUCUCAUUUGGAACAUCGAUUGCACCACCAAACCUCCGACUCCCACUGUUCAUGGCGUAUGUUUAAUACGACAAUCGUUCAUCGUGUUGACCGAUUCACGGCCUGAAGACCCUCUUCGUAUGCCUCUCACUCCAUUUGCUUUAGAUUCCAUUCGAUGUUGGCAUUGGCGGGAGUCGGUCUCGACUGAUAGGGAAACACGAAGAAGCAAUGUCACCGAAUCUUCUUUUCUUUUGACUUUGGAGUGGAAAAGAAUGAGCGAGGUCCAGAGGUUGGUCGCGACUGAUAGGGAAGCACGAAGAAGCAAUGUCACCGAAUCCCACCACAAUCCGGGUCACCAGCGUGAUUUUGCCCAGUUUCAGAUCUCUUUAACAACUGGAAAGACUUCUGUAAACGUAAGAAAACAGAGCAAAAAUGGUUCCUAAUAAGCAAGCUGAAGGAGCGAUAGUUCCCGGGGAAAUGAAGGGUUCAAAUGAGCAAGAACAAGGAGAGGGGCAGGUAGGGGUAGAUCAGUCAGUGUCUGUCGUCAAGAACUUUCUUUGGCAUGGUGGUUCUGCUUAUAAUGGUCGGUUCAGUUGUGUUUCAAACCAGGAGUCAUCUUUCAAGUCUUUUAUGGACUCCUUGGUCUUGGAAGCUGGACUGCUCUUCAGUGUUCUCUAUGUCCAGUAUAGAGCCAGAAAGGAGACAGAGAAUGUCAGCUUCAGGAACCAUGUUAUUCAGGUUAAUCUUCAUCCGUUUUUGAUUCUUUAGCAUUUAGCACUGUAAAAGAUGCACAAAUAUCUAUGAACCAUGUUAUUCAGGUUUAUCAUUUUGCGGGACACAUGACCAUAUAUCAUACAUGGUAUUGUCUAUGCUCUGUAUUCAAAAGAUGCACAAAUAUCUAUGAAUUUAGCACAAGUAUCUGUGACUUUGUUGCUUAAUCUGACUUUCUUCAAUUGCUCUUACAAGCCAUCUUACAAAGUGAGGAACUUAUAAAAAUAAAGAAGAUAUAACACACAACUUUAGACCAAAAAGAAAAUCAGAUCGUUUGUCGCUUAUAACUUUUGGUAAACUUAGCUAUGUUGAAUAUUGAAUCAAAAUGAGUAUAAUAUUUGAUAUGAAUUGGGUUUGGUAAGUGAACGAAGAUAUGUUGUAUGCCACCUUUUUUUAAUAAAUAUUUAUUAUGUUAAGUAUAAGUUAUUAACAAGAAUCAUAGUAAUUAUUCAUUUUUAACAAAACACUUAAAGUUAGUGCAUGUACUGAAAUUAGAUUUUGGGAAACUCACCUGUUUCAUUGCUUUCUAUAUAUGUUUACAUCCAUAAUCACGUCCACAUAAUCAAAUUGCAUUCAAAGUAGUUUUAGUAGCAAACUAAUCUGAUCUGAAAGUAAUGCAAAUCGAUGCAUGAUGUGUUAUUGGUACAUCGGCAUGUUCCUCUUAUGCAACAACAUGUUUUAAUUAUCAUCUCAACCUGCUCCAUGUUUUUUUUAUAAUAUUUCAGUCAUAUUAACAAUUAACUAAUGAGUAAUAGAUGAUCCCACAUGGGAGGAUGUACCCUUACCCAAUGGUUGCAACGUUCCUGGUGGAUUCAUGUGGCGAAUCACCUUACACCAUGGUGACUGUGCAUCGAUUAUUAUAUCAAUAAGGAGAAAGAGGGGUGAUAAAAACAUGGAUGAUCAGAUCUAUUGUGUUUCUGAGCUUCAGUAAGGCACAAAGUUUGCUACUUCAAGUUACUGUUGCUUUGGCUGUGGCAGAAGUUGCAUUUGAGUUUGAACACGGGCUCUUUACACCACCUUUUGUGGACCCAACACUCUGAUUGAAUAACUGAAUAUGAUGGAAUAACCCCUUUCCUUAAAUUCCGAAAUAAUGUAUAAAAAUUUUGGUAGAUAUUCAUAUAUUUAAUGUAAUUUGAAACUUAUUUUAUCUUUUUAUACUUUUAUCGGUUAAAUUGUUAAUAAAUUUUCUAUUUUAGUUACACCAUUUUCAUCCAACUCUUGCCAUUUUAUUUUUACUUAUGCGUUUCAAGGGAAUACGUUGUAAUGUGUCUAUUGCAAACUGAUUAGGUUUUAUUUUUUAUACAGAGGAAGAUAAAGAUCUGGAAUGAUUUUUUUUCUCUCCACAACAGUCUCCGGCCAACAUUCCAGAAGUUGUGAUUCUACAAACAACCUUGCAUGCCAAAUCCCAUUCAAUUUGCAAUCAAUUGCUAUGAACAUCCAACAGUACGUCUGUCCAUACUACUAGACAAGAAACUCAAGAAAGCGUAUCAGGAGAUGUACCAAAUUAUCAAACAUGAUGCAUAGGGAGAAAUACUCUAUUUCAAUGUUCUUUUUUAAAUAUUAUCCGUCUUUUUCAUCUUUUGCUUGUGUACGUACGUAGUCAGUUAGGAUGCAAAUUUUUAUGUUUUCUCACUGUUUCUAUUGAAUAACAUGUUUUAAACCAGUUCCAUUA